CUCAAGAAUCCUUUAAUAAGAGAAGACAAUCGACCGCAAACAAAAGGCAGGGUGACAGAAAGCCCAGCAACAGCCAAGCAAAAGAAAAAACAGGAAAAUUCGUGUGUUGAUAAAUUGGCAAUAGAGAAAACCCACACCACUCAUAGCACUAAACGGGGAUUAGAAUUAUAGAAUUUAGAAGAAACCAACAAAAACGCCCAAAGACUUGGUUACGAAGAAUUCCAAUUCUCUCUCUCUCUC
rnacentral:misc_RNA from 1 species